rnacentral:lncRNA from 1 species
UAGGAGAGCUGUUACCUAGACGCAGGAGAGAAAUGAACAUAUGUAAAGCAAGACAGAUGGUCCCAAGGAGAACUUAAUUGAGAUGAUUGGAGAAGCAGAUGAUAAUCCCGCUUCCUUUUUCACUGAGAAAACAGAAGCAAUCAGAAUAGGCAUUGACAUACACCAGCUACCACAUCUACUGAUAUAUUGAAUCAACAAGAGGAGGAAAGAAUGAGAACCCUUGGUCAUGAACAGGAGAAUGUUUUUGACGAUUUGGAAACUGGGGAGUAUGAGACUUCCUCUUGGGAGAGUUGAAAUAGGGGUAACAUAAAGUGCCAUAUGAAGAACAUUCAGCCUAAGUGAGAAGAAACAAAUCCCGAUUUAUGUCAAUCAUUGGCAUAUAAUAUUAAGGCCAGUCUAGCAGCUACUUUUUACCCUUACAACAUGUCAUUGUGCCUUGAGCUUUUUCCAUCUCUUUAAGGCAGACUCCUUUCAUGUGCUAGCUGUACUUAAAAAGCAGCAGUGAACAGAAAGCAAAAUUAACCCAGUAUAUUACAAACCAAGAAAUGAUGACAAGAAGGUAACAGCUAUACUGCUGGAAGACUGGAAAGGCAUCUUCAGAUGUAGGUCCCAAGUGCCCUGUCAUUUACUUCCUGUCCAAGCACUGAGCAGAUGGAAUUACACAAGUUCGGCUGUAUGAAACCACCCUCUAAUGCCUUCGUUAAACUCCAGGAUUUUAGAGUCUGUCCAGUUUCUGGCAGGGACCUUUCCAAACUUCCACCCCCAAAGCUGUAAAUUACUACCUCAUUAAACUCAAUUGUAAAUGA